GCUUUUCACUGUUUAUGCAACCUUGGGGAAGGGGUUCGCAAGCCCGGUAAGUUCCGAGAGUUUCUUAAACCUUCUGAAGGUCUUCCUCCCCUGAGAGGGAGAGUUCCAGUUUAAAGGAAACAGCUAUUUCUUCUCUGUAACCCAGUGCCCACUCCAUAGCUUCUGCGUUGGUUACUUCUCUGUUGCUGGAAUGAGACACUUACAAAGGGGGAAUUUAUUUGGGCUUCUGGCCGGGAAGCACGGCAGUGGUCAACGGUUUGGGCCACAAACAGGAAGCAGACAGAGUAAACCAAAAGUAGGGCGCUGCUGUGUACUCCCGAUGCCAGCUCCCCAGUGACUGACUUUCUCUGCAAGUCUGCAUCACCUAACACCCCACCCUGCCCCUAAAUGCCACCAACUGGGGACAGAGUAUUCAAAUGCCUAAGCUUCUGGGGAAAUUUCUGGAUGUUGGAUGUGGAUUGUGGGGUUGGAUGGGAGUGCUAGCCGAGUUGAUAGGUUCCUGAUGCCAUGGUUGAUGGCUCUUGGAGGUAGCAUCUGGAUGGAGGAGGUGGGUCACUGGGGUGUCUUAGAAGGCCAUAUCCUGUCUUUGUACUGCCUCUCCUCUCUUCUCGCUUCCUGUCCUCCUUGAGAUGAGCAGUUUUUCCUCUGCGCAUUCUCCAGCCCACAUGUUCUGGUUGCAACCGAACCUGCAAACCAUGGGUCUAACCCUGGAACCACGUUGACUCGUCCUUGCAUUUUCCCUUCUUGAUCAUCACUGGAAGUGCAGUUAUUACACGCCAUCACCAGGGAGGUUAUGACCCAACAAGGUGCCUGGCUUCUGCUCCCACAGACUGUGUGCCCUGGUGGUGAAGAUAGACUUGGAGCCCAUAUCUCCCAACUCCCAUCUCUGCCUCUGUAUCUCCUAGCCUGGGCAAACCUGGGCAAGUUUCCCCCAUCUAUUACAUCUUUCUUAAGAGGAAGCAGCGGUGACUGAUGGCCAUGUUCCAAGCUCUGUUGGUGACGAUUGUAUGUGGCAGACAUCUGAGGAGACAAUGCACAAUUCCCGGGAGAGAGGGGGGCUUGACUUUGGGGGAUUUUGGCUUCUUUUCUUUUGGGGUUCCCAUGGAAGAGAAAAGAUGAAAAUGUGUCCUAUACACUUCCUCAGUCCAUGUUGGGACAUGGAUGGUGGAGGGCAAUGUAUCUAAGUGGAUAUGUGUUAAGAGAAGCUUUUUCUUUGAGAGAAGCUUUCCUGCCCGCCUGGUUCCAGAUCCGCAUCAGUCCCAAAUAAACACACAGGAGGCUAUAUUAAUUAUGAA